UCCUGCAGAUCAGCUUUUUGUUUGUGCUAUGUUGCUUUUAAAAUGUAAGACGAACAAAAAGUUUGUCUGUUAG
rnacentral:miRNA from 10 species